rnacentral:tRNA from 1 species
UGGGACGUAGCCAAGCGGUAAGGCAGCGGAUUUUGAUUCCGCCAUGCGGAGGUUCGAAUCCUCCCGUCCCAGCCA